AUUGACAGUGGAGAGAGCUUUGUGAGAGUUUGGAAUUAGGAGGGUGGAUAGGGUAGGACUUUUUCUCUGCCCAGUAAUGUGUAUUCAGUUUCAAGAAGGUGCAUUCAGGUAGCACAGACAGAGGACAGAGAAGUGGGUUAGGGCCUCUGCACUCAGGCAGCCACCGUGUCGAAUGGUCCCCACCCAUGUCAUUGAUUGGUUGUAGAUUACACAUUCCUCUCUUACUAUGACUGUGAGGCUGAGACAGCCCCCUAAGCUAGGCCAUUCCCUCCCAACAAGAUGGGGCAGGUGAGCCUGGCUAUAUGGGAGAGGCUGACUAACAAUUUUUGGGUAGUCUGACUCAUGGCAGAGUUCUGGAGCUGGAGGGUUGAUGCUGGUGGC
rnacentral:lncRNA from 1 species